rnacentral:rRNA from 1 species
UACGAAGGGGGCUAGCGUUGCUCGGAAUCACCGGGCGUAAAGCGCACGUAGGCGGAUUGCUAAGUCAGGGGUGAAAUCCUGGAGCUCAACUCCAGAACUGCCUUUGAUACUGGCGAUCUUGAGUCCGGGAGAGGUGAGUGGAACUGCGAGUGUAGAGGUGAAAUUCGUAGAUAUUCGCAAGAACACCAGUGGCGAAGGCGGCUCACUGGCCCGGUACUGACGCUGAGGUGCGAAAGCGUGGGGAGCAAACAGG